GGAGUUGUGGCUCAGUGGUAGUGUGCUUGCCUAGCAUGCAUGAGGCACUGGGUUCAAUCCUCAGCACCA
rnacentral:tRNA from 1 species